rnacentral:lncRNA from 1 species
GCAAAUUACCCCAGGAGUUGAACUAUGUACAACAGAUUAGCUUAAGGGAUAGCACACGAAAAAUUAAUAAGGACUCUAUCUGAAAUUAAUCCAGGAGCCACUUCCUAGUUGGGAAAACAACUGUACAGCUUGCAGUGUUCUUUCUCCUUUCCCUCUUAAAUGUCUGAGAAUAUCUGUGUAUUUUAAGAAUGUGUGAGGAGAGGGUGAAGAUUUAUGUUUUGAUGAGCCUUUUUAAAUUUUUCCGUUUUUUCCUCUUCUGUUUUAGUCUAUGGCUGGUCUUGAUGUCGGUGUUCGGAAGUUCUAGUUUUGCAUAGAAUUAUAAAGAUGCCAAACUCCUUGAAAAGAGAUCCAAAUUUAUCAUUUAAAAAAACACUAUUUUUUGUAUUUUAUCUCAGAUGCAGGGGGGCACAAACAGAUGAGACUUUUACAGUGUUAGUGUAACUCUGAGUUUAAAGAAUGAGGAUUUUACCUUUUACAGAGAGUGAGGUGUGGUGAUUUUAUAUUUAUAUAUGAAAGGCCAACAAGAUGCUUAGGAGAAGCUUUUUUCCCAAGAAGCAGUUUUUCUUUUUCUGUUUUAAUGUUUGAAUCUCUAUUUGAGAUGGGAGCUUGGUUGGAUUAAACGUGACACCGGAAUGGGCAGUGUGUGUGUCUGUUGCACAUGGCGGGGGAGGGGAGACUCCUUUUCACGGGGUUGCCAUGGUGAUCAUUGGUUUUCCCAUCAUAGUUACAUCUCCAUCCAUAGAUAACCUACCCCUUCCCUGAGAGUCCAUAACCAAACCUCUUAACAAAACAACGUUUUCAGAAACAUGUCUUGUAUUUAACACUUUCUUCAUGCCAACAAACAGGGUAAACAUGCUAAAAAAAAGAAAACAACUAAUGUUCUAAACAGAUUUCCAAACAGGAUGAACAAAAACAAUUUAAAGCACUUUCAAAAAAAUUUUUUUUAAAGGUUUAUAGCUUUUUUUUUUUUUCCCCAUUUCACAAUGUCCACUUCCUAAAAAAGGUUUAAAUAAUAUGAAAACUUUCUUUUUGGGGAAAAUAUCUAUUUGGUGUUUGACACAUCAGUAGGUACUUUAAGACCUGAAUUUUAUAGUAGCUUUAGGAAUUAUAUUUUAUAAAGAUCAGUUAUGAAUUUAUAUUUCCAGACAAUAGAGAGUUCAGAACAUCACGCUCUUGUGCCCCUGCUUGCUUUACCUGCUUCCCCACCCUGUAUCCCUUCCCUUUCGGGUUUCCAGGGCUUUGAGCUUGAUCUUUUGAGAGUUUUAUUCUAUUAAAUUUUUGCUAUAUCUUCUGAUUUUCUUAAAGAGCUUUAGAAUGGUUUCUAUACCCUUUGUAUCACUGCAUUGUUCCAUAUCAUCUCUAAUUCGAUUGUGUCUGGGUGGAAAACUGAAGCGGAGGCUUCUAAUAGUCCCACUGACCAGUCCCAGUGCAACGGGUUUGUCUGAAAAUGCUGGAAAGUCUGGUGCUUGGAGAGGGUGCCAUUGUCUCUUGUACAUAAGGUCAUGACGUGUCUAUGUCAAAAGUUCUUAUAUAUUUCUUUUAUAAGCUGAAAGAAGGUCUAUUUUUAUGUUUUUAGGUCUAUGAAUGGAACGUUGUAAAUGCCUGUCAAACAAUAAAAAAUAAUGAAAAGUGG